UUUUUGCCCUUGAAAACUUAAACUAUGUUUUCCUUUUUUUUUCCCAAAUAUUUUUCUUCUAGGAAAUUUACAAAGAAAAACCUCGUUUCACAAUAAAGAACGGAAAGGCAUUUGUCCCCAAGCAACGAUCAAAUGGAACGAGCAUGGAGGCGCUCCGACCGAGCUGCUCAUUGGAGCAGUUGAUUCUCGCGCAUUCGGCCGCGUGAGCUCGGCAAUCACUGCGGUCUCAACAACCUGCGAAAGAUCAGGAAAUGGGAUUUGCGAAAGCGGUACCAUAUACUUCGGGAUUUUUGCUUAGAUGGAGAUAUCUGUGAUUACUUCAAACACUGAGCAUUGUCUGGAACACGUAUGGGGAGUCAGUAAUGUCACCAUUCUAUUUGCUAAUUCAAGAUUUUUGUUCCGACC